rnacentral:pre_miRNA from 1 species
GGCUUUCUGAGUCCAUGCUGAGACUUCAUCAAAAACCAGGUCAUCGGGAUUGAUGAGUCUCUGAAGAUAAGUGGAGCG